UGACGUCAGCGGCGGUCGGGUGAGUAACACGUAGGUAACCUACCUAUUAGACUGGGAUAACUUCGGGAAACUGGAGAUAAUACCGGAUAAUAUUUCGAACUGCAUGGUUCGAUAGUGAAAGAUGGUUUUGCUAUCAGUUAUAGAUGGACCCGCGCUGUAUUAGCUAGUUGGUAAGGUAACGGCUUACCAAGGCGACGAUUCGUAGCCGACUUGAGAGGGUGAUUGGCCACACUGGAACUGAGACACGGUCCAGACUCCUUCGGGAGGCAGCCGUAGGGAAUUUUCCGCAAUGGGCGAAAGCCUGACUGAGCAACGCCGCGUGAGUGAUGAAGGUUUUUGGAUCGUAAAAGUAUGUUAUUAGGGAAGAACAUACGUGUAAGUAAUUCUGCACGUCUUGACGGUACCUAAUCAGAAAGCCACGGCUAAAUACGUGCCAGCAGCCGGUAAUACGUAGGUGGCCAGCGUUUUCUGGAAUUAUUGGGGGUAAAGCGGGUUGGCGGUAAGUUUGAUGUGAAAGCCCACGGGUCAACCGUGGAGGGUCAUUGGAAACUGGAAAACUUGAGUGCAGAAGAGGAAAGUGGAAUUCCAUGUGUAGCGGUGAAAUGGGCAGAGAUAUGGAGGAACACCAGUGGGGAAGGGGACUUUCUGGUCUGUAACUGACGAUGAAGAUCAAACCGGAUUAGAUACCCUGGUAGUUCCCGCCGUAAACGAUGAGUGAUAAGUGUUAGGGGGCUCCGCCCCUUAGUGGUGCAGCUAACGCAUAAGCAGUCCGCUGGAUAGCGACCUGG
rnacentral:rRNA from 1 species